AGAGUUUGAUCCUGGCUCAGGAUGAACGCUAGCUACAGGCUUAACACAUGCAAGUCGAGGGGCAGCAUGGUCUUAGCUUGCUAAGGCCGAUGGCGACCGGCGCACGGGUGAGUAACGCGUAUCCAACCUGCCUUACACUCUUGGACAGCCUUCUGAAAGGGAGAUUAAUACAAGAUGUUAUCAUGAGUAAGCAUUUUCGCAUGAUUAAAGGUUUACCGGUGUAAGAUGGGGAUGCGUUCCAUUAGAUAGUAGGCGGGGUAACGGCCCACCUAGUCUUCGAUGGAUAGGGGUUCUGAGAGGAAGGUCCCCCACAUUGGAACUGAGACACGGUCCAAACUCCUACGGGAGGCAGCAGUGAGGAAUAUUGGUCAAUGGACGAGAGUCUGAACCAGCCAAGUAGCGUGAAGGAUGACUGCCCUAUGGGUUGUAAACUUCUUUUAUACGGGAAUAAAGUGAGGCACGUGUGCCUUUUUGUAUGUACCGUAUGAAUAAGGAUCGGCUAACUCCGUGCCAGCAGCCGCGGUAAUACGGAGGAUCCGAGCGUUAUCCGGAUUUAUUGGGUUUAAAGGGAGCGUAGAUGGGUUGUUAAGUCAGUUGUGAAAGUUUGCGGCUCAACCGUAAAAUUGCAAUUGAUACUGGCAGUCUUGAGUACAGUUGAGGUAGGCGGAAUUCGUGGUGUAGCGGUGAAAUGCUUAGAUAUCACGAAGAACUCCGAUUGCGAAGGCAGCUUACUAACCUGUAACUGACAUUGAUGCUCGAAAGUGUGGGUAUCAAACAGGAUUAGAUACCCUGGUAGUCCACACGGUAAACGAUGAAUACUCGCUGUAGGCGAUAUACAGUCUGCGGCCAAGCGAAAGCAUUAAGUAUUCCACCUGGGGAGUACGCCGGCAACGGUGAAACUCAAAGGAAUUGACGGGGGCCCG
rnacentral:rRNA from 1 species